AUUGAACGCUGGCGGCAGGCCUAACACAUGCAAGUCGGGCGCGCGGCGGACGGGUGAAUCUUGUAUGGGGAUCUGCCUGAUGGAGGGGGAUAACUACUGGAAACGGUAGUUAUUCCCGCAUACCAUCAGUUGAACCCAUAUGGGAUUAGCUAGUAGGUGGGGUAACGGCUUACCUAGGCGACGAUCCCUAGCUGGUCUGAGAGGAUGAUCAGCCAAACUGGGACUGAGACACGGCCCAGACCCCUACGGGAGGCACCAGUGGGGAAUAUUGGACAAUGGGCGCAAUCCUGAUGCAGCCAGGCGGCGUGGAUGAAGAAGGCCUUCGGGUGGUAAAGUACUUUCAGUCGGGAGGCGUUACCGACAGAAGAAGCACCGGCUAACUCCGUGCCAGCAGCCGCGGUAAUUC
rnacentral:rRNA from 1 species